GGUGACGUGUCCGAGCGGCCGAAGGAGCACGCUUGGAAAGCGUGUGUUGUGCAAGCAACCGCGGGUUCGAAUCCCGCCGUCACCGCCA
rnacentral:tRNA from 96 species